UUUACAUACUCGGCAAAAGCUCCAGGAUGCUUAGCUCCAAUGACUGUUAAUUUCUCGCAUUGCGAUAGGAAUCCUUUUUUACAACUUUCACACUUGCCACAAUAAAGCGCCGGACA
rnacentral:antisense_RNA from 18 species